UACGUAGGUGGCAAGCGUUGUCCGGAUUUACUGGGCGUAAAGAGCGCGCAGGCGGUCGUGCAAGUCGCGUGUGAAAGCCCCCGGCUCAACUGGGGAGGGUCACGCGAUACUGCUCGACUCGAAGGCAGGAGAGGGAAGUGGAAUUCCCGGUGUAGUGGUGAAAUGCGUAGAUAUCGUAAGGAAGACCAGUGGCGAAGGCGGGUCUCUGGACAGUUCCUGACACUGAGACACGAAGGCCAGGGGAGCAAACGGG
rnacentral:rRNA from 1 species